CAUCUGUAAGCAUGCGGUCUUAGCAACAUGACAUCAAAAAAUUACUGCUAUUUUUAGACUAUAAGCCCCUCCUCCAAAUCGACAGAAGAAAUGAAAUUCAGCUAUGAAAAUCGUGUGCAGCUAGCUACACUGGACAUGCAUGAUGAUGGUCGCGUCGACGUCUGGGCCGAGAUCACACCAUACAGGUACAUGCAUACUGUCAAUGAUGAUGGCGGUUCACAAUUCUAUCCCGCCCAACCUCACAAGGCCCCCUCGUAUCUAUCCCUGUGACUAGCAAGCAAUCUCAAAGCCCACAAGAACUGGCAGUGCUGAGGUAACAUUGUCAAGAUAACAAGCGUGUAAUGUUCUAGGCAUGAUUUGGUAAGAGAUAUAAAACACAUUAAUAACAGGGGUGUUUCUAGAAGGGUGCUAACAUUUUAUUACGUCCCUGCAUUAUAGGGGUAGGGGGGCAGGCUGAGACAAGAGACAGGAGAAAUAGUACUGUACCUAUUCACUCAAAUCAUUUCAUUAUUAAUAUCAACCAACACCAAUCAAUCGUUUUUACACUACAGGCAAAGGUGCAUGCCAGGUAAAUAAAUGAUCGCUUCAUUUGCAAGUAAAAUAUUCAUGCUCAGAGAUUCAAUCACAAAAAGUGUCCUUUUUGGUGUUGGUGCCAACCUAGCCUCGUUAUACCAAGCCGAUUUUAACGAACGGAAGGAGGUAGGUAUUUUCGACCUAGCGAAAAAAGUUGUAAUAGAAAAAAGUCGGGUCGGGAAUGAGGCUAGUCAAUCGUACCCAUACUUUCUCACUUUUUUACGAGUGUUUGGUACUUGCAGUAUAUAGAAUACCGUGACGUAUGUAGUGAGUAUAUACAUGCAUGCAUGUAGAGUACGUAGCUGUUAAAAAUAUGCUACUGACUCAUGCUCAUUGUUUCCAGAUCCCCAUUAUAGAGACAUACCUUAGUAGAGGCUAAAGAUGCGUAUCUUUGUGACCAUAGACCUCAACCAAGUGGACAAAAGCAUGGACACCAUCCAACUUCAACCCAUGGACAGACUCGGUGAUCACAACCCUGAUGGAAGACCUCGGUCGAUAUUGUUUACUUCCAGGCUGAGCUGAACAGCAGUUAUCUAGCUAGAUCAUGAUACACUUUUAGAGAGGAAAUUAAACUUCAGUACUAGUAGUGUUAGAGGCCAGCCAGUGUCUGCUCGUACGUACAUGUAGUCAUAAUAAAUUAUAUUAUCACUGUAGUGUGUUCGUCAGCAUAAUUAUUAUUACCAUUCUGAGUAUUAUCAACUUUUGUUCAAUUUUUUGAAAUGAAAUAAGCUACAGA